UGGCCAGACUCCUACGGGAGGCAGCAGUGGGGAAUAUUGCACAAUGGGGGAAACCCUGAUGCAGCGACGCCGCGUGGGUGAAGGAGUGCUUCGGCAUGUAAAGCCCUAUCGGCAGGGAAGAAGCAAGACGGUACCUGACUAAGAAGCCCCGGCUAACUACGUGCCAGCAGCCGCGGUAAUACGUAGGGGGCAAGCGUUAUCCGGAUUCACUGGGUGUAAAGGGAGCGUAGACGGCGGCGCAAGUCUGGAGUGAAAGCCCGGGGCCCAACCCCGGGACUGCUCUGGAAACUGCGGCGCUGGAGUACGGGAGGGGCAGGCGGAAUUCCUGGUGUAGCGGUGAAAUGCGUAGAUAUCAGGAGGAACACCGGUGGCGAAGGCGGCCUGCUGGACUGCGACUGACGUUGAGGCCCGAAAGCGUGGGGAGCAAACAGGAUUAGAUACCCUAGUA
rnacentral:rRNA from 1 species